rnacentral:rRNA from 2 species
AGACCCGAAACCCGGUGAUCUAGCCAUGGGCAGGUUGAAGGUUGGGUAACACUAACUGGAGGACCGAACCGACUAAUGUUGAAAAAUUAGCGGAUGACCUGUGGCUGGGGGUGAAAGGCCAAUCAAACCGGGAGAUAGCUGGUUCUCCCCGAAAGCUAUUUAGGUAGCGCCUCGUGAAUUCAUCUCCGGGGGUAGAGCACUGUUUCGGCUAGGGGGCCAUCCCGGCUUACCAACCCGAUGCAAACUGCGAAUACCGGAGAAUGUUAUCACGGGAGACACACGGCGGGUGCUAACGUCCGUCGUGAAGAGGGAAACAACCCAGACCGCCAGCUAAGGUCCCAAAGUCAUGGUUAAGUGGGAAACGAUGUGGGAAGGCCCAGACAGCCAGGAUGUUGGCUUAGAAGCAGCCAUCAUUUAAAGAAAGCGUAAUAGCUCACUGGUCGAGUCGGCCUGCGCGGAAGAUGUAACGGGGCUAAACCAUGCACCGAAGCUGCGGCAGCGACACUCAGGUGUUGUUGGGUAGGGGAGCGUUCUGUAAGCCUGCGAAGGUGGCCUGUGAGGGUUGCUGGAGGUAUCAGAAGUGCGAAUGCUGACAUAAGUAACGAUAAAGCGGGUGA